UCCCUGGUAGCUCAGUUGGUAAAGAAUCUGCCUUGUAAUGCAGGAGACCCAGGUUCGAUUCCUGGGCUGGGAA